rnacentral:rRNA from 1 species
GGUAUCCUACGGGGGGCAGCAGUGGGGGAUAUUGCACAAUGGGGGCAACCCUGAUGCAGCGACGCCGCGUGAGCGAUGGAGUACUUCGGUAUGUAAAGCUCUGUCAGCAGGGAAGAGAAUGACGGUACCUGACCAAGAAGCCCCGGCUAAAUACGUGCCAGCAGCCGCGGUAAUACGUAUGGGGCAAGCGUUAUCCGGAUUUACUGGGUGUAAAGGGAGCGUAGACGGCAUGGCAAGUCUGGAGUGAAAGCCCGGGGCCCAACCCCGGGACUGCUCUGGAAACUGCCAUGCUAGAGGGCUGGCGG